rnacentral:rRNA from 1 species
UACGUAGGGUGCAAGCGUUGUCCGGAAUUAUUGGGCGUAAAGAGCUCGUAGGCGGUUUGUCGCGUCUGCUGUGAAAGCCCGGGGCUCAACCCCGGGUCUGCAGUGGGUACGGGCAGACUUGAGUGCGGUAGGGGAGAUUGGAAUUCCUGGUGUAGCGGUGGAAUGCGCAGAUAUCAGGAGGAACACCUAUGGCGAAGGCAGAUCUCUGGGCCGUUACUGACGCUGAGGAGCGAAAGCAUGGGGAGCGAACAGG